GCUGGGCCUGUUCAAACAAAAUGUAUUUUAAAACGGCUAAAUUCAAGACCAGGCUCGAAACGGGGGUAGCAACCCCAAACGAGCCCUUCAGGGCUCUGGGGGGAGCAAUCUGCCGAAGGCGACCGUGGCUGAAGCCAGAGCGAUGCUGCUUGGUGGUUUUAUAGCACGCUGUUGCCGUUUGAGAGGACACUCGGCAGGGCUGGCUGAGAUAACUGGCCUGGCGGUGGUAGUGACCCGAAUGCACGAGGCAGCGGAAAACAAACCUUUGUUCACAGCGGCACACAAACAACAUCUGUCCACGACGACGCUGUUGUUCUCUCCAGGCUCUCAAAUUUCGUGACUGCAAGACAAACAACUUUUAUCAAUGUCUUUCAGUACGUCCUUCAAUCCAACCUGCUCUUCCUGUCUGACUCAGAAAAAGCUCCCUAAAGGAUUCAGAGUGGUGCUGUUAAACCUGUAUUUUACAAGUAUUAAAAUCCAUCCAGACUUUGGCAGAAAUUAAAAA